UUUUUUGAGAAAGCUUGGGGUUCUUACUUGUGUGGCUCAUGGUUUGUGCUUUAACAUACCUGUUCUUACUUGUGCCGUCGCUGCUGUAGGAUGUAGAUGUGGUGUCCAUGGAGGUAUGGUGGUGUAAUUUUAACGUUUUGCUGUUUGAAGAAUGUUAAGAAGGCAUCUAUUUUGUUUCCACGAUGAGCAAGAAGAGCCUUGUUUUCUCUGCUCCCCGUAAUAUGGUUUCAAGCAGGGAUGUUGGAUAUGGUUUAGAGCACUAGCAGAGGACCAUGGAUGGCAUCAGGUUCUAGAGAUUCAUAGCCGAAUGCGUGAAGAACCAAGGGACAUGUUGAUGCGAACCUCGUGAUCACGUAGUCACGCAACAGUCCAUUUAAAACAUGUAAUGGAUCCUUGCUGGUGUUUCUGGACUGGUCCGCAUCAAUGUUGCCUUGCUCAAGUAGCCGCUCCUGAUUCUGCUGAAACGGUCACAGUGGAGGAUGUUCCAUUGGAAGCUGAAUCGUCUUCUUCUUCUUCUUCUUCUUCUUUUUUCCCAGGAGGUGAAUUCUUUGAUUUCCCAUUAAUGAAAUG
rnacentral:lncRNA from 1 species